rnacentral:misc_RNA from 1 species
CGAGAUAGUGUGUGUGUGAGCGAGAGAUUCAGAGGCGGCGAGGAUGGUGAAGUUUUUGAAGCCAAACAAAGCUGUUAUCCUUCUUCAAGGCAAGUAUGCCGGCCGGAAAGCUGUGAUCGUAAGGGCAUUUGAUGAAGGAACAAGGGACAGGCCAUAUGGCCAUUGUUUGGUCGCAGGUAUCUCCAAGUACCCGAAGAAGGUGAUCCGCAAGGAUUCAGCAAAGAAGCAGGCGAAGAAAUCUCGUGUUAAGGCUUUCAUCAAGCUCGUGAACUACAACCACAUCAUGCCUACUCGUUACACACUCGAUGUGGAUCUGAAGGAUGUUGUCAAUGCUGAUGUUCUUCAGGCACGUGACAAGAAGGUGACCGCUGCAAAGGAGACCAAGGCUAGGCUUGAGGAGAGGUUCAAGACCGGGAAAAAUCGCUGGUUCUUUACCAAGCUUAGGUUCUGAGCGAAGAUUGAAUCCGAUUUUGAUGAAAUGGUAAUUUUUUUUAGUAUUAAAGAGUUUUGAGGAAUGUGUUUGUUAUCAAAGAUACUAUUAGGCUGUUUUUGUGUUUGCACUAUUUUAUUGAUGGAUAAUUCCUGGCUCUUGUUUCAGUUAUCUACAGUUUUAUAAUGGC